rnacentral:lncRNA from 1 species
GGUGUGCUUGCAGGCUUUGAAGAACAAGCUGCCAUGAAUCCUGCAGCUACAAGGAAAUGAACUCUAUUAACUUGAGUGAGCUUAAAACUAGAUCCUUCCCCAGUCAAGCCUCCAGGUGAGAAUUCAAUCCUGGCUGGCACCUGGAUUGCAGCUUACAGAAGACCCAGCUAAGGCCAUGUCUGGACUUUAAAUCCACAGGAACUGCAAGAGAACUGUUUGAUACACGCAACCAGGACUGUAUGAGAGGCUGGAAACGUAUCUAUCAGUACUACUUAUCUGUAGUAAAGACUUUUUUAAGCUCAUUUAUGAUUGCACAACCUAAAUAACCAUACAUGGCUGGGCCUGGGAAAGGCAGAAAGGCAGAUGGAUGGUAUCAGAAGUGGGACCUGCAGUGGGGCAUCUAGCAACCCCCAGGAGCAUUGAGUGACCAGGCUUGGGACCCACCGGGCGCAGGGUGUCCAUUGUUCUCUCGAAGCAACUGAGAAUUGUGGAUAUUCUUCAUUAUUCCAUCAUCAUCUCAAACCUCUUGGGUAUAGUG